GCAAGUCGAGCGAUGGAUUAAGAGCUUGCUCUUAUGAAGUUAGCGGCGGACGGGUGAGUAACACGUGGGUAACCUGCCCAUAAGACUGGGAUAACUCCGGGAAACCGGGGCUAAUACCGGAUAACAUUUUGAACCGCAUGGUUCGAAAUUGAAAGGCGGCUUCGGCUGUCACUUAUGGAUGGACCCGCGUCGCAUUAGCUAGUUGGUGAGGUAACGGCUCACCAAGGCAACGAUGCGUAGCCCACCUGAGAGGGUGAUCGGCCACACUGGGACUGAGACACGGCCCAGACUCCUACGGGAGGCAGCAGUAGGGAAUCUUCCGCAAUGGACGAAAGUCUGACGGAGCAACGCCGCGUGAGUGAUGAAGGCUUUCGGGUCGUAAAACUCUGUUGUUAGGGAAGAACAAGUGCUAGUUGAAUAAGCUGGCACCUUGACGGUACCUAACCAGAAAGCCACGGCUAACUACGUGCCAGCAGCCGCGGUAAUACGUAGGUGGCAAGCGUUAUCCGGAAUUAUUGGGCGUAAAGCGCGCGCAGGUGGUUUCUUAAGUCUGAUGUGAAAGCCCACGGCUCAACCGUGGAGGGUCAUUGGAAACUGGGAGACUUGAGUGCAGAAGAGGAAAGUGGAAUUCCAUGUGUAGCGGUGAAAUGCGUAGAGAUAUGGAGGAACACCAGUGGCGAAGGCGACUUUCUGGUCUGUAACUGACACUGAGGCGCGAAAGCGUG
rnacentral:rRNA from 1 species